AUGGCUGCAUUUUCAUUAAAUAUCCAAAAACAUAUUGAAUUAAGUCUUGUAGCUAGUGGAAAAUUUGAUGGUUCUCAUGCUUGCUUAGUAGCUGUAACUUCUGGAGGAAAUGUUUUAGUGCACAGUCCUCAUAGACAACCUCAAAUUAAGAACAAUGAUUCUGAACAACCAGAUGGAAGAUUAUCUUGGAGUGGAGAACUCGCUGAAUUGCAAAUUGGUAGUCAGGUAACAGCAAUAUGCACUGGGCAUCUUGGAGAAGAUGAAAGAGAUAUUCUGUUAAUAGGAACUGGUACACAUAUUCUUGCUUAUAAUGUAGAAGAUAAUGCUGAUAUUUUUUAUAAAGAGAUGUCAGACGGUGCACUGUGUAUAACGAUAGGAAAACUUGGAUGGCUAUCUGAUCAAGUAGCAGUAGUUGGUGGAAAUAGUUCAAUAACUGUUUUAGAUUCUAAGGGAAAAGAAAUAUUUUGGACAGUGAUGGGGGAUAUAGUUACUUCCAUUGCAAUAUUUGAUUUUGAAGGCGAUCAUGAAAAUGAAUUGCUUAUUGGUACCAAAGAUUUCGAAAUAAAAUUAAUGAAAGAAGAUGCAAUAGUGUGGGAUACGAAAGAAACGGCAUCGAUAACUGCAUUAGCAGGGCUUUCAAACAAACAAUUUGCAUAUGCAGUUGGAAAUGGAACAAUAGGUGUUUAUGAAGUUGGUCAAAGACUUUGGCGAGUUAAAUCUAAACACAGAGCAGUGUCUAUACGAAGUUUUGAUAUAAAUGGAGAUGGUAUAUUAGAGCUCAUUACUGGAUGGAGUAGUGGAAAAGUUGAUGCAAGAUCAUGUAAUACUGGAGAUGUAAUAUUUAAAAUACAAUUAUCUACUAGUGUAGCUGGUAUCGUAGAAGCUGAUUAUAGAAGACAAGGUAGACCAGAUUUAGUUGCUGUAUCUACUUCAGGAGAAGUGCGUGGAUAUGCUUCUGGAACUUCAAUGGAUGCUCCAGAACCUGGUGAAAGAAUGCGUGAAUUAUUGUCUAAGAAACAAGCAUUGCAAAUGGAACUCCGACAAAGAGCUGCAUCAGUACCAAAUAUGUAUCAUCAUACAAAGUUGGCAGUUAGUUUAAUAUCAGCUAGAGGUGCAGCUCGUCUCGGUGUUGCAGCUGGACCAGGUCUUUUGGUUCAUUGUGCCAUAGUAUUUGCAGAAGGUAUAUUUGAGGGUGAAACACUUGUAGCUCAUCCAAGCAGGCCGCAAGGUGAAUUAGAAAUUGAAUUACGUCCUCCAAAAAAUGGACCUAUUGAUAUUCAUGUAAAAAUUAGUGUUGGUCCACCUGGUGCAGAUUUAUUACAAGUUUUUGAAAUGACAAGACAAUUACCCAGAUUUUGUAUGUACGAAAUUAUUUUAAAUCCAAAAGAAAUUUCUCAAAUGGAAAUAGAGAGUGGUAUUACUAUAGAGGUUGCUGAGAGAGCACAGCGUAUUGCACUAUGGUUGAAUCAAAGUCUUCUACUUGCAGAGGAAUUAGAAGUCGCGGAAGAAGGACCAAAUGCAGCAUCGAUUGAACUUUGGCUCCGUGGAUUAAGAGAUGACAAAGUUCAUUGUAUAACAGCAAAUCCUUUUGGAAAAAUAACAAUACUUACAGAAGACUCGACGUUUGCCGGUGAUAUAGUUCAAUCUUUAGCAAUGUAUUUGGGUCUUAGAGAGCUUACUUCAGAAGCUAAAUUUCCAAACGACGAAAGUAAGAUGCUGGAAGCUUUAGAAUGUGUCAAAGGUUUAAAAGAUGUCGAUGCGAAACUUCAAGCGGAAGCUGCUAGUAACGCUGUUCUUCUUAAAAGUGUUGUCAUUCGUUUAGAAGAUGCACGAAUAUUGCAAAAUGUAGAAGAAAUGAGAAAGAGAUUAUUACAAUUGAAAGCUAUUAACAGUGACCUAAUUAGAAAUCACGAAAUAAGAAUGAACAGUAAUCGAGAUCUUUCAACACAUUUGAAGGAAUUGAAUAUCGGCGUUCAGCGAGUCGCUAAAUUAAGGGUUGGAAAAGCUGCUACAAAUGCAGUUUCACGAUGUAGGACUGCAAUACAGGAUGAAAAUCCAAGGGCACUUGUUGCAGCAAUGCGAAAUGGUUAAUCCUGAUACCUGAUUUUUGUGCCUUAUUAUUGCAAUAAUAAAAUACAGUCUUGUAUGUAUAUUGUAAAUGAAUAAGUAAGGUAUAUCCACGUAGUUUGACUAUUCGUUGUCUGUGGUGUGGUGUCUUCUUCUUCUUCUUCAUCUUCUUCUUCUGCUUCUUCUUCGAAGACGUUCGUUGCGUAACUUCAAACA
rnacentral:misc_RNA from 1 species